GUCGUCAUCGUCAACAGCAUCAUGCUCAUCAUCGUCUUCAUCUUGAUUACAGACAAUUUGCCUUGCAUGAUUCACUCCCCUUGGGUUUGGCCUACUCGGUUGAGUAUUGAGAUUGGCCGAAGCUUGGUGAGUUGCACAAAUUGAUUCUUGGUCUCUUCUUGCAGCCUCUUAGUGUACUUGCUAUCUAUCCAGGCGAUCCCUUAGUUGGACUUGAGUUGAUUCAAGUCCUGCCAAAAGAGCUAGAUCCAAGGCAUUGCUUUUGUCACCCCUACUGAAAUCUUCUUGCGCCAUGCCUAUGCUUUGACAUCUUAAAGUUACCAUUAAACAAAAUUGAAACAAUAAGAUAAUGAAUGAAAGAAUGCAAUCAGCCAAUAAAGAAAGUAAGCCAAAGUUGCGCCGAUUGUAACUCAAAACACCAAUAAUCCCACCCCAUGGCAUUGCUUUUGUCACCACUACUGAAAUCUUCUUGCGCCAUGCCUAUGCUUUGACAUCUUAAAGUUACCAUUAAACAAAAUUGAAACAAUAAGAUAAUGAAUGAAAGAAUGCAAUCAGCCAAUAAAGAAAGUAAGCCAAAGUUGCGCCGAUUGUAACUCAAAACACCAAUAAUCCCACCCCAUGGCAUUGCUUUUGUCACCA
rnacentral:misc_RNA from 1 species